CUAUUUAACAAAAUAAUUCGCGCU
rnacentral:piRNA from 1 species